UGUAAACAUUUUCACUAUGUAACUGUACUUUUUUCACUUAUUAUUUUAGUGGUCUGACCCACUUCAGAUCAUUUUGAGCUGAAUGUGGCCCCUGAACUAAAAUAAGUCUGACACCCCUGACAUGGACAUUUAUUUUGUGACAACACUUCUCUUACAUAACUCAUCAUACAGGGUUUUAUCUGUCAGUGAUGGAAGAUCUCAUUUCCAAAAUGCACUGCAUCAAUUUCAGAAGAGGCUCUUGAUGUUCAUACAUAUUGAUUAAAGAGUAAUUUCGAGAGCCAGUUGAUCAUUAUCAUUUAUUAUCAUUAAAUGAGCCGAGGAUUUAAGAUCCCCUCAGUAUUUUUAGCGUAAAGUGAACUCAGGCUAAAGUGCUAAUACAGCGUUUUCCUUAUGAGUCAUUUUUUGUCCACAUUAUUAGGUUGAUCAAAGUUCAUUCGCAGCACAUUUCAGACAGAUUAGUGUCUGAUGACGAAGACAGUACAUAUGUAAGAAUAAAGCAAGGAUAAGAAAAGAUGAAAAUGUUGUAAAAUGGAUUAAAAACAUUAAAAAUGAGCAUUUGAAUAGCCAGUAUAAAGAGGUCCGUUUUACAUUUUAGCACUGUUAUGAUCUGUGAAUCAUGCAAACAUUAAUACAGCAGUCUGAAAUGUCCACUUUCAUCUUCUGUUUUACUGCAAAACAGGCGGAGUUUGUAGAGGAAAGUGCCCUCAGGGUUGUUCAGCAGACAAAUGAACCUGUCCUCGAUUACAGAUUUGUUAUGUUUCUACAAACCAGCCCAUGUUAAAGAGUUUCAAAGUGAAUGAUCCAGAUGCUGUAGGUGUAGAUGGGAAUCAGGAGACAUGGUCUGAGCGGUAGUCGACUGGAUGUGUUUGUAAAGUGCUCUUUUUGUCUUGUCUCAUUAUCUAAACUGUUAAUUUACCUCUGUGUAAAUAAAACUGUACAUACUCGACUUGUAAAUAAAUACCUUUUGAAUAGAA